GUGAAAGAUAUCCAUACAUAUUUUAGCCACGAACACUAAGACUGAAGGCAACAGCAGUCCAUCCUCAACAGCAUGUGGCUGAUAUUCUGGACAAACCAGCUAGCUGUUCAGACGAGCAGACAAAGAAAGCUGUAACAUUUGCUAGUUGUACACAGAUAAAUACAGCAGAAAAAUCGGAACAAGUUUGGCUCCCUUGUUUAUGUCCUAAAGAUAAACCUGAUACCAAAUCUAAUGAAGCAGGUAGUAAUACCGACGACACAUCUACAAGUAAAGUGAAAAAGUUUUUUAGAAAAUCGCAAAAGAAAGAUACAAAUGACAAUACUACUACUGGCAAAUCUGAAACAUCGCCCUCCAAAGGAAAAAAUAAAAAGAAAACAAAGAAAACACAGCAAAAACAGCAAUAUGAAGAUACGGAUUCAUACGAGUAUACAUCCGAUUCGGACGUCAUUUGCAGAUGCUAAUUAUUGUUAAUGG
rnacentral:lncRNA from 1 species